AUUGCACUAAAGGUUCCUCCCUCCAUCGUCCAUGUGGUAGGGUAAGGGACUCAAACUAAGUGGACUACGCCGGAGUUCGCCGUCUGAGGGCGAAGGAAGAGAACAAUCAGACUAGCAACUUGGAAGCCUGUCGAUAGGCUGAAGAGUUCGCGAAAUGCUAAUAUAUCGACUACACUCGUAGAAGCUUAAGUGCCGAUAUUUUUGGACGUGGGUUCGACUCCCACCGUCUCCACCA
rnacentral:tmRNA from 1 species